rnacentral:rRNA from 1 species
GGAGGAAAAGAAACCAACAGGGAUUGCCUUAGUAACGGCGAGUGAAGCGGCAAAAGCUCAAAUUUGAAAUCUGGCACCUUCGGUGUCCGAGUUGUAAUUUGAAGAAGGUAACUUUGGAGUUGGCUCUUGUCUAUGUUCCUUGGAACAGGACGUCACAGAGGGUGAGAAUCCCGUGCGAUGAGAUGCCCAAUUCUAUGUAAAGUGCUUUCGAAGAGUCGAGUUGUUUGGGAAUGCAGCUCUAAGUGGGUGGUAAAUUCCAUCUAAAGCUAAAUAUUGGCGAGAGACCGAUAGCGAACAAGUACAGUGAUGGAAAGAUGAAAAGAACUUUGAAAAGAGAGUGAAAAAGUACGUGAAAUUGUUGAAAGGGAAGGGCUUGAGAUCAGACUUGGUAUUUUGCGAUCCUUUCCUUCUUGGUUGGGUUCCUCGCAGCUUACUGGGCCAGCAUCGGUUUGGAUGGUAGGAUAAUGACUAAGGAAUGUGGCUCUACUUCGGUGGAGUGUUAUAGCCUUGGUUGAUACUGCCUGUCUAGACCGAGGACUGCGUCUUUGACUAGGAUGCUGGCAUAAUGAUCUUAAGCCACCCGUCUU